rnacentral:rRNA from 1 species
UCCACGCCGUAAACGAUGGAUGCUAGCCGUCGGAUAGCUUGCUAUUCGGUGGCGCAGCUAACGCAUUAAGCAUCCCGCCUGGGGAGUACGGCCGCAAGGUUAAAACUCAAAGGAAUUGACGGGGGCCCGCACAAGCGGUGGAGCAUGUGGUUUAAUUCGACGCAACGCGAAGAACCUUACCAGCUCUUGACAUUCACUGAUCGCCUGGAGAGAUCCGGGA